CAGCAGCCGCGGUAAUACGUAUGUCGCGAGCGUUAUCCGGAAUUAUUGGGCAUAAAGGGCAUCUAGGCGGCCUAACAAGUCAGGGGUGAAAACCUGCGGCUCAACCGCAGGCCUGCCUUUGAAACUGUAAGGCUGGAGUACCGGAGAGGUGGACGGAACUGCACGAGUAGAGGUGAAAUUCGUAGAUAUGUGCAGGAAUGCCGAUGAUGAAGAUAGUCCACUGGACGGAAACUGACGCUGAAGUGCGAAAGCCGGGGGAGCGAACAGGAUUAGAUACCCGCGUAGUCCCUGUCUCUUAUAC
rnacentral:rRNA from 1 species